rnacentral:rRNA from 1 species
GACAGAGGGUGCAAACGUUGUUCGGAAUUACUGGGCGUAAAGCGCGUGUAGGCGGUUUCGUAAGUCGGAUGUGAAAGCCCUCGGCUCAACCGGGGAAGUGCACCCGAAACUGCGGAACUAGAGUCUCGGAGAGGAUCGUGGAAUUCUCGGUGUAGAGGUGAAAUUCGUAGAUAUCGAGAGGAACACCGAUUGCGAAGGCAGCUUACUACACGAUCAUUGACGCUGGGGCACGAAAGCGUGGGGAGCAAACAGG